AAUGAACGCUGGCGGCAUGCCUAACACAUGCAAGUCGAACGAGACCUUCGGGUCUAGUGGCGCACGGGUGCGUAACGCGUGGGAAUCUGCCCUUGGGUUCGGAAUAACAGUUAGAAAUGACUGCUAAUACCGGAUGAUGUCGUAAGACCAAAGAUUUAUCGCCCAAGGAUGAGCCCGCGUAGGAUUAGCUAGUUGGUGAGGUAAAAGCUCACCAAGGCGACGAUCCUUAGCUGGUCUGAGAGGAUGAUCAGCCACACUGGGACUGAGACACGGCCCAGACUCCUACGGGAGGCAGCAGUGGGGAAUAUUGGACAAUGGGCGAAAGCCUGAUCCAGCAAUGCCGCGUGAGUGAUGAAGGCCUUAGGGUUGUAAAGCUCUUUUACCCGGGAUGAUAAUGACAGUACCGGGAGAAUAAGCUCCGGCUAACUUCGUGCCAGCCGCCGCUGUAAAAC
rnacentral:rRNA from 1 species